AACUAAAGCAUAACUAUAAAAUUGGUUUAAACUGGGUGGCAAUUGAAAAUUUGAGAUGAAUGGCAGGGCUUUUGAAAUUCGAAUCACCAGCAAUUUGUAUAUCCGUAAAUCAUGCUCUCCCACCCAAUUCAGUUCAAUGUGCCUACUUCUUUGUGCAUUUUAAAAUUCCUUCGUACCUCUUAUUCUCACCAAACCUUAUAAACGUUAAUCUCUCCCUCUCUUUCUAACUGGGGAAUUCAAUUCAUGCCUUUGGAUUCAUCAAUUGAGAAGGAUUUGUGAAGAUCAAAAGUAUAGCUGAGUUUGUUGAGCUGUAACCAUGUGUAUUUGUUGAGCCCUAACUUAUGUGGGAUCUAGUGAGGAUGAAAUUUAUUAAUGUUCGUAACCAUUGUUUUGUCUUUGAGAUAUGUUACAUUAUUCACUAGGCAUCAACUAUGCCCUAUGUUCAUCUUAUUCUUGAAUACAGGCGAGUAUUACUCAAUGUUCAGGGGCUUUUCGCUAUCUUCAAGAGUUUUGAUAGCACAUAAAAGUGGAAAAGUUGAUGCUGAAGAACUAGGAAAUGCACUAUACGACUUGUGGUGACUUUUUAAAAUUUUCGGCCGAUCUAUUUGAGAUAAAAACACAAUUGUGAUUACAACUACUUUACUUCUGCUAUGAUUAAUCUUUUUACACAAUUGAGAUUGCAACUAGGGAAAUGUUAACCGGUCAAGAUGAUAAUUGAUGCUGCAUGUCAUUUAAUCAUAGGAGAAGCCCAAAACACUUGUGUUUGGUGGGGUUAAUCCGAAAUAUUUCAAGUGUAAGUACAUAUAUGUCUGUGUGACCUAAAAGGGCUAAUGGCAGGUGAGUCAUUUCAAAUGCCCUUAUACCUAUAUUGUCAUGUAUCUGAUUUUUUCAUAUCAUUAAUUCAUUGCAGGUAAUUUUUUGGUGUUUUUGUACUUAGUUUGAUAUAAGUGACAUUCACAUUAGAGAUAAAACUAUUGUCCUUAUACAUAUAUUUGUGUUUUUAUACUUGGUGAGAGGUAUGCUUGCUUUUCGGGGAACCAUGGGAUGACUAAGAACUUGAAAAAUUUAAUCCACGCAGUUACCAUGAUAACCAUGUGGGAUUUGUGUUAGACGAGAAAUGAUAUGGUGUUUAAAGGCUACAACACUUAUAAUCUUAAGUUGGUUGAAGAUAUCAAAGAGUAUGCAGUGAUGUGGAUUUUUAUCUUGUCGUGGGGUUUUGUUUUUUUGUCUUCUGCUUGUUUCUUUUUUAUGGAUAUAAUCUGUAUAGCUCCUUGUUGGGCAGAUUGCAUUUUGGUGAGUGAG